UAGUGGCGGACGGGUGAGUAACGCGUGGGAAUCUGCCCUCAGGAGGGGGAUAACGGUUGGAAACGACCGCUAAUACCCCAUAUGCCGAGAGGUGAAACGAAAUUCGCCUGAGGAUGAGCCCGCGUCUGAUUAGCUAGUUGGUGGGGUAAAGGCCUACCAAGGCAUCGAUCAGUAGCUGGUCUGAGAGGAUGAUCAGCCACACUGAGACUGAGACACGGCCCAGACUCCUACGGGAGGCAGCAGUGGGGAAUUUUCCGCAAUGGGCGCAAGCCUGACGGAGCAACGCCGCGUGAGGGAUGAAGGCCUCUGGGCUGUAAACCUCUUUUCUCAAGGAAGAAGAACUGACGGUACUUGAGGAAUAAGCCACGGCUAA
rnacentral:rRNA from 1 species